UCUCCCCCCUUUUUGGGCAAAAUCACUGACACGAGCCGCGCCUCGUGCUGGCGGGGAUUUGGCCACGACACUCCGGACCUCCUACGGCUCCGCCCGCUCCAUGGCUCCCCUCCAAGCCCAAUGCCUCGAUAUUCGCUGGGGCAUGACGCUGCCCGAAGUUGCGAUAUACGGUCGGGUAUUUGUGGGUCGGCUCGGAUAAUGGGUAUUGGAGUAUCGGUAGUAGGGAGUCGGGUGGACUGGCAGCAGUCGGGUAGUUGGGAGUCUCUGGAGUCUCGGGGUAACGCUGCGCUGGAGUGCGCACCUUUGAACCGUGGCUAGUGAUGCCAGAGCCGUCGGACGGAGGGCAACCGGCAGUUCCAGUUCCAGUCCACUAUUGGCAUCGGCAAGAUACUUUCCAAGUUGAAAUACCUAUAGCCUUGGCUGGGAAAUACCUAUAGUUUUUGGGCCAAACCCUGAAACCUAAAAAUCCCCCACAAUCGCAUGGCUGAGCAAAAAAACAAAAAAGCUGGUGGAGAAAUAUACAAACGGACAGUGGACAGGCGGACAGGCGGACAAGCGGACAGCGGACAGACGGACAAAAUGGACACAUGUAGCAUGGUCAUCGGAAUGGAAUCAAUGGACCCGACCCAGCACAUGGCAAUAAAAAGUGUCCCCCCUAGUUUUAAGUACUACGGAUAUAUAUAUCUAUAUGGGAUAUAU
rnacentral:misc_RNA from 1 species